rnacentral:rRNA from 1 species
AAGACCUCACGUUAUUGGAGUGGCCUAGGCCUGAUUAGCUAGUUGGUGGGGUAAAGGCCUACCAAGGCGACGAUCAGUAGCUGGUCUGAGAGGAUGAUCAGCCACACUGGAACUGAGACACGGUCCAGACUCCUACGGGAGGCAGCAGUGGGGAAUUUUGGACAAUGGGGGCAACCCUGAUCCAGCCAUUCCGCGUGAGUGAAGAAGGCCUUCGGGUUGUAAAGCUCUUUCGGCAGGGAAGAAACGGUUACGGUUAAUACCUGUGACUAAUGACGGUACCUGAAGAAGAAGCACCGGCUAACUACGUGCCAGCAGCCGCGGUAAUACGUAGGGUGCGAGCGUUAAUCGGAAUUACUGGGCGUAAAGCGUGCGCAGGCGGUUUUGUAAGUCAGAUGUGAAAGCCCCGGGCUUAACCUGGGAAUG